UUCGGGGACAUAUAGCUAUGGAA
rnacentral:siRNA from 1 species